GCGGUGCUCUCCUUCUGCACUGUGUUCAACCAUUGUGUCAAUAAUAAGUGCUGCUGUGAAGAGAACAAUUCUCAGACUGAAUGUUGAACAUCAGCUAGUUUCUCCUGUUGAUUGAAACCUUGUUGUACAGAUGGAACAUUGGCUGUGGAUUAUUCUUGCUGCUCUUUUCUUUGAGUGUAAAGGAGAAGACAAAGUGAUCCAGGAACAAGGAGAUGUCACUGCUGCUGAAGGAGACACAGUUACACUUGGAUGUAGAUUUGAGACCAUCUCCACAAAUCCUACACUGAUCUGGUACAAACAAGAAGUGAACAGUUACCCAAAGUAUAUGCUGAAAUGUGUCUCAACAUCAGCAGUUAAAGCUGAGGAAUUCAACAACGACAGAUUUGAUGCUAAAAUCAACAAGAAAGAAAAUUCAGUUCCUCUGAAGAUCCAGAAGCUUCAGCUGUCUGACUCUGCUGUGUACCACUGUGCUCUGCAGCCCACAGUGACAGGAAACACCAAAACUCUGUACAAAAACCUUUGGAGCAAAGACAACAGAAUACUCCACAACAUCCACUAGAGGGAGCCACACACU